rfam:Erinaceus europaeus unplaced genomic scaffold scaffold00644, whole genome shotgun sequence
GUGCUUAUCUGGCAGGGAAGAUACCAUGAUCACAAAAGUGGUUUUCCUAUAGGGAGAGGCUUACCCAUUGCACUCUUGAUGUGCCAAAUCUGUUGAUUUCCCCAAAUGUGGAAAACUGGACUACAUAGUUUGUAGUAACUGGGCAUUGCAUUCUGUUCUCCCUGA